rnacentral:rRNA from 1 species
UACGAAGGGGGCUAGCGUUGCUCGGAAUCACUGGGCGUAAAGCGCGCGUAGGCGGACAUUUAAGUCAGGGGUGAAAUCCCGAGGCUCAACCUCGGAACUGCCUUUGAUACUGUAUGUCUGGAGUUCGGGAGAGGUGAGUGGAAUUCCUAGUGUAGCGGUGAAAUGCGUAGAGAUUAGGAAGAACACCAGUGGCGAAGGCGACUUACUGGACUGUAACUGACGCUGAGGCAUGAAAGCGUGGGGAGCAAACAGG